UACAGAGGUCCCAAGCGUUGUUCGGAUUCACUGGGCGUAAAGGGUGCGUAGGCGGUUUGGCAAGUCUGAUGUGAAAUCCCGCAGCUUAACUCCGAAACUGCAUUCGAUACUGCUGUGCUUGAGGACUGGAGAGGAGACUGGAAUUUACGGUGUAGCAGUGAAAUGCGUAGAGAUCGUAAGGAAGACCAGUGGCGAAGGCGGGUCUCUGGACAGUUCCUGACACUGAGGCACGAAGGCUAGGGGAGCAAACGGG
rnacentral:rRNA from 1 species